UACGGAGGGGGCUAGCGUUGUUCGGAAUUACUGGGCGUAAAGGGCGCGUAGGCGGAUAGUUUAGUCAGAGGUAAAAGCCCAGGGCUCAACCUUGGAACUGCCUUUGAUACUGGCUAUCUUGAGUUCGGGAGAGGUGAGUGGAAUGCCGAGUGUAGAGGUGAAAUUCGUAGAUAUUCGGCGGAACACCAGUGGCGAAGGCGAACUCACUGGACCGGUAGUUGACGCUGAGGUGCGAAAGCGUGGGGAGCAAACAGGG
rnacentral:rRNA from 1 species